AAAAGAGUUCUAUAUCCCGGCCAUCUCCUCCCGUCGGUACAGUACGACCUCCGGCGUCGGCAGAAGAAGUAACUCUCUUACGCGGCCUCUGUAAGGCAUGCCGGGUCCAACAAUGGAAUCAGAAUUUCCAGUGGAGCCACAAUCGCUGAAGAAGCUAAGCUUCAAGUCCCUUAAACGAUCUCUUGACUUAUUUUCACCUAUCCAUGGCCAUUUCCCUCUUCCUGACCCUGAAAGCAAGAAAGUUCGAACGAGCUAUAAGCUAAAUGUCGAGUAUGGAGGUAUAAAAGGCUCAGCGGCUGAACCUAACGCCAAAGCGGGUGUGCAGCAUCAGGCUCAACCAGCUUCUGCACCUUCCAAUACCCUUGCUCUUCCAGGUCCUGAAAAUACAAGAGACGAGAAAACCGGAAAUGAACUGGCUCUUGGUCCAUCCAUACCAGGGAAUGGCCCGACUGAUGUUAGGUUCUCAGGGAAAAGCAAUGCUGUUGUUCCUUCUCACGGUUCAUCUGAAAGAAAUUUGUCAACUGCUGCAAUCAUGGAAAGAAUUCCAAGCAGAUGGCCUCGUCCAAUAUGGCGUGCUCCAUGGAAAAAUUACAGGGUUAUCAGUGGCCAUUUGGGAUGGGUGAGGUCUGUCGCAGUGGAUCCUAGUAAUACUUGGUUUUGUACAGGAUCAGCAGAUCGCACUAUCAAGAUAUGGGAUUUAGCAAGUGGAAGACUGAAGCUCACUUUAACAGGGCACAUUGAACAAGUCCGAGGCCUUGCUGUUAGUAAUAAACACACAUACAUGUUCUCUGCUGGUGAUGAUAAGCUAGUUAAAUGCUGGGACCUGGAACAAAAUAAGGUGAUCCGCUCCUAUCAUGGCCACCUCAGCGGUGUUUAUUGCUUGGCUCUUCAUCCAACCAUUGACAUCUUGUUCACCGGGGGUCGUGAUUCUGUCUGCCGGGUUUGGGAUAUUCGUAGCAAAAUGCAAAUUCAUGCUCUAUCUGGACAUGACAAUACUGUUUGUUCUGUUUUUACCAGGCCGAUGGAUCCACAGGUUAUAACUGGCUCUCAUGACAGUACCAUUAAGUUCUGGGACCUUAGAUAUGGUAAGACAAUGGCAACUCUCACACAUCACAAGAAAUCUGUUCGAGCUAUGGCUCAGCAUCCUACAGAGGAUUGUUUUGCUUCUGCAUCAGCAGACAACAUAAAAAAGUUCAGUCUUCCAAAAGGAGAAUUUAUGCACAACAUGCUUUCCCAACAGAAAACCAUAGUCAACGCGAUGGCAAUUAAUAAUGACGGUGUAAUGGUCACUGGAGGUGACAAUGGAAGCAUGUGGUUUUGGGAUUGGAAAAGCGGUCACAAUUUCCAGCAAUCUCAAACUAUUGUUCAACCUGGGUCACUGGACAGUGAGGCUGGCAUUUAUGCCCUCACCUACGAUGUAACCGGCUCAAGGCUGAUCAGCUGUGAAGCUGAUAAGACCAUCAAGAUGUGGAAAGAAGACGAAACUGCUACCCCAGAAACUCAUCCUCUUCACUUUAAGCCUCCAAAAGACAUUAGGCGUUUCUAGUUGUAAUCGUAAUUCAGAAAGCAACCCUUUGUAAUACAUACAAAUCGAACUUCUUCUGUGCGUCGUUUCGGAGUAAGACUGACCCGAUAAAAGCACCAUGUCCAGAGUAGUUCACUUGCCUCUUUGUAUCCAUCAUUUACUUGUGUUUUUUAUUUAGUGAAGGAUUCAUCUUUUUCUUCCUACCACAAGAGGCUUUGGCUGCUUUGCAAAGAGACGAGCCACUUCCUGGGCAACAUCGAUACAUGCAGCGAGUUGAUCUUUACGCGGAGAAGGAACCAUGGGAGAU
rnacentral:misc_RNA from 1 species